AUUGAACGCUAGCGGGAUGCCUUACACAUGCAAGUCGAACGGCAGCACGGACUUCGGUCUGGUGGCGAGUGGCGAACGGGUGAGUAAAGUAUCGGAACGUGCCUAGUAGCGGGGGAUAACUACUCGAAAGAGUAGCUAAUACCGCAUACGCCCUACGGGGGAAAGGGGGGGAUCGCAAGACCUCUCACUAUUAGAGCGGCCGAUAUCGGAUUAGCUGGUUGGUGAGGUAAAGGCUCACCAAGGCGACGAUCCGUAGCUGGUUUGAGAGGACGACCAGCCACACUGGGACUGAGACACGGCCCAGACUCCUACGGGAGGCAGCAGUGGGGAAUUUUGGACAAUGGGGGCAACCCUGAUCCAGCCAUUCCGCGUGCGCGAUGAAGGCCUUCGGGUUGUAAAGCACUUUUGGCAGGAAAGAAAUCGCACGGGAUAACAGCCCGUGUGGAUGACGGUACCUGCAGAAUAAGCACCGGCUAACUACGUGCCAGCAGCCGCCGCAGUAA
rnacentral:rRNA from 1 species